rnacentral:rRNA from 1 species
GAUGAACGCUAGCGGCAGGCCUAAUACAUGCAAGUCGAGCGGCAAGUCGAGGAGUAAUCUGAGACCUAGAGCGGCGCACGGGUGCGUAACGCGUAUGCAACCUACCUUAUACUGGGGGAUAGCCCGGAGAAAUCUGGAUUAAUACCCCAUGGCACAUAUUGAUGGCAUCUGAGAUAUGUUAAAGAUUUAUUGGUAUAAGAUGGGCAUGCGUCUGAUUAGCUAGUUGGCGGUGUAACGGACCACCAAGGCGACGAUCAGUAGGGUUCUGAGAGGGACGACCAGCCACACUGGUACUGAGACACGGACCAGACUUCCUACGGGGAGGCAGCAGUGAGGAAUAUUGGUCAAUGGUGCAAGCCUGAACCAGCCAUCCCGCGUGAAGGACGACUGCCCUA